UCGAAGCUCACAUCACAGUUGAAUUUUUUCCCAUAAUCGGAAAGUUAGGUUAUUAUUGAAUUUCCAGAUAUGAAAGACAGUUCUUGGACGUGAAUUUGUAUCAAAAUCGGAUGUAAUAACUGAUAGUUUAUUUUGUCACUAAUAAUACUCAUUUUUCAGGCACAUAUCAAUUCAUCAUAUCAAGAAAUGUAUGAAAUUCAUAAAUGUCAAAUAUCAUCUAUCGGAAAGUCUCAUUUUAAAUAAAAAAAGCUACUUCAGGGAUUAAAUUACAUGCAAACUCACAGAAUGAGAAACAUCCUUAGUCUUGGUGUAUGAACAUAAGCAUUUCUGGAUAACAAACGGUUCUUGGGGGCAUAUAUAAAUUUAUCAGAUCAAGAAAUGUAUAAUAUCAUCUCUCGGACAGUGUUAUUUGGUAAAAAAAAAAUGUUCUUCAGAGUAAGUUUCUAAAGCAAUUCGUUCAGGAGAGUUUCUAUGUAAAGCAAAGGAUCUAUUUCGAUUCUUUUCAACUGAACACAACAGAUUUCUGACAACUUUCA